rnacentral:rRNA from 1 species
UACGGGGGGGAGCAAGCGUUGUUCGGAUUUACUGGGCGUAAAGGGCGCGUAGGCGGCGUGACAAGUCACUUGUGAAAUCUCCGGGCUUAACUCGGAACGGUCAAGUGAUACUGUCGUGCUAGAGUACAGAAGGGGCAACUGGAAUUCUCGGUGUAGCGGUGAAAUGCGUAGAUAUCGAGAGGAACACCUGAGGUGAAGACGGGUUGCUGGGCUGACACUGACGCUGAGGCGCGAAAGCCAGGGGAGCAAACGGG